rnacentral:rRNA from 1 species
GCGAAAACUCUACCUGUAAGCAACUGCGAUAGGGGGACAUCGAGUGGCAUCCACCUUGGGUGCCUGUCCCACCGUCUAAAAAACGGUGGUUAGCAAGGGCCGGGCAAGACCGGUGCCAGCCGCCGCGGUAAUACCGGCGGCUCGAGUGGUGGCCGAUAUUAUUGAGUCUAAAGGGUCCGUAGCCGGCUUUGCAAGUCCCCUGGGAAAUCCAGCGGCUUAACCGUUGGGCUUUCAUGGGAUACUACAUUGCUUGGGACUGGGAGAGGUAGGAGGUACUCGGGGGGUAGGGGUGAAAUCCUGUAAUCCCCCGGGGACCACCGGUGGCGAAGGCGUCCUACCAGAACAGGUCCGACGGUGAGGGACGAAAGCUAGGGGCACGAACCGGAUUAGAUACCCGGGUAGUCCUAGCCGUAAACGAUGCCCGCUAGGUGUCACGGCGGUCGUGAAUCGCCGUGGUGCCGUAGGGAAGCCGCGAAGCGGGCCACUUGGGAAGUACGGCCGCAAGGCUGGAACUUAAAGGAAUUGGCGGGGGAGCAC